CAUAUCGAACAACCCACGCUUUUUAAGCAAGACUUUUCGUCAAUCAUCAUGUUAUGAAAACGAUAUGAACAAAAUUUAGAAAUAUCGAUUUGAGGGAGCGAGAUGUCACUCAUUAGGAAUAUCCUCAGAAUGCCAAGAAUCAAGGACGCGCAGACGGACAGAGGAUGUAACCAUUUCAUAACCGACUAUAUAUAUUUUGAUUAAUCUUAAGACCUACGAUUAAGUGAACAUAACUUUUAUUAUACCGUUGCGAUAUCAUCUUGUA